ensembl:ncRNA ZC13.11 ncRNA
UCUCUUGCCGCCUCCGGUUUUCUCCCCUCUCGACGGCACAACACUCCUUCACGCAGCUCCAUGUCGUCUUUCGUUUUCUCGCAUCUCGUUUACUUUCAAUUAAUGUGUCUUGCAAUGCUUAUAUGGAAUGCGAAUGAAUGUUUUUCU